GCGGCAACAGCUCAGAUUUGAAAUCUGGUCCCCAGGGCCCGAGUUGUAAUCUGUAGAGGAUGCUUUUGGCAAGGCGCCGUCCGAGUUCCCUGGAACGGGACGCCAUAGAGGGUGAGAGCCCCGUACAGGCGGACGCCGAGCCUCUGUAAAGCUCCUUCGACGAGUCGAGUAGUUUGGGAAUGCUGCUCAAAGCGGGAGGUACAUUUCUUCUAAAGCUAAAUACCGGCCAGAGACCGAUAGCGCACAAGUAGAGUGAUCGAAAGAUGAAAAGCACUUUGAAAAGAGAGUUAAAAAGCACGUGAAAUUGUUGAAAGGGAAGCGCCUGUGACCAGACUCGCGCCCGGCGGAUCAUCCGGCGUUCUCGCCGGUGCACUCCGCCGGGCUCGGGCCAGCAUCGGUUCUCGCGGGGGGAUAAAGGCUUCGGGGAUGUGGCUCCUCCGGGAGUGUUAUAGCCCGUUGCUCAAUGCCCUCGCGGGGACCGAGGACCGCGCAUUGCAAGGAUGCUGGCGUAAUGGUCACCAGCGACCCGUCUUGA
rnacentral:rRNA from 1 species